rnacentral:lncRNA from 12 species
CCGAGCCGCAGCAACCACCCCUCGGGCGCUCAGGGACGACACGUCGGGGCCUGAGAGGCUCGGUGUAAGGGGCACCGACUGAGGUCUGCAGAGAGCCGAGGCCGCAGCCCGCCCGAGUCCGGGGAGGGAGGACCCGCGAGAGGACCCAGGGAGCCUCCCACAGGUGUCCUCCUACCCCCGCCACGCAGAGCCCAUCUCCCGCGGACGUGCAACCAGCCCUUAGGGACCCCUGGCACGGGGUCCGGAUGUGACGUGGGCCGACUUCCGCCUCGGAGGUCUGAGGGAGCGGAGGGCCUCGUGUGGGGGGCGCAUUGGGGUCCCCUGGAAGGAGGCCAGGCCCGGGCCGGCGGCAGCCGGGCAGCAGGUGAAGAGCGAGAGGCGCCCCAUUCGAGCCCAGAUGGAAGCCAGAGCUGGCCCAUCCUUUGUGCAUGAUCCAGGACCAGUCCUGGAGACUUUGACAGGGACUUCAAGAAGUGACAGCAGAGGAAUCGAUCUGAGGCAGGGGUCCCUCAGGUCACAGACCAGAGUUGACGCGGGCCAGUGCCACUUGUCCAGCAUGGUCUUUGGCCCCCCAGAGGAGGGAUCUGCUACUCCCACGGCCCUGAGUGUUCCCCAGUGCUCUCAGAGUGCUGACCCCUCCCCCAGUGGUGGGGCUUCUGGUGGCCUUGAUCAGCCUGAGCUUCCUGGCCCCAGCAUCCAGCGGAGGGAGGAGAUGAGGAGUCCU